rnacentral:rRNA from 1 species
GAUGAACGCUGGCGGCGUGCCUAAUACAUGCAAGUCGAGCGAACAGACGAGGAGCUUGCUCCUCUGACGUUAGCGGCGGACGUGUGAGUAACACGUGUAUAACCUACCUAUAAGACUGGGAUAACUUCGGGAAACCGGAGCUAAUACCGGAUAAUAUCUUGAACCGCAUGGUUCAAUAGUGAAAGACGGUUUUGCUGUCACUUAUAGAUGGAUCCGCGCCGCAUUAGCUAGUUGGUACGGUAACGGCUUACCAAGGCAACGAUGCGUAGCCGACGUGGGAGGGUGAUCGGCCACACUGGAACUGAGACACGGUCCAGACUCCUACGGGAGGCAGCAGUAGCGAAUGUUCCGCAAUGGGCGAAAGCCUGACGGAGCAACGCCGCGUGAGUGAUGAAGGUCUUCGGAUCGUAAAACUCCGUUAUUGGGGAAGAACCAAUGUGUAAGUAACUAUGCCCGUCUUGACGGUACCUAAUCAGAAAGCCACGGCUAACUACGUG